UGCACGGUGGCACAGUUGGUAGCACUGCUGCGCAGCAAGAAGGUCCCGGGUUCGACUCCCGGCCGGGGGUCU